rnacentral:rRNA from 2 species
GGCUGUCCAACAGGACAUUCUGGCUACAGAAUUUCUUGACGACCAUAGAGCAUUGGAACCACCUGAUCCCAUCCCGAACUCAGUAGUGAAACGAUGCAUCGCCGAUGGUAGUGUGGGGUUUCCCCAUGUGAGAGUAGGUCAUCGUCAAGA